UACGGAGGGAGCUAGCGUUGUUCGGAAUUACUGGGCGUAAAGCGCACGUAGGCGGCUUUGUAAGUUAGGGGUGAAAGCCCGGGGCUCAACUCCGGAAUUGCCUUUAAGACUGCAUCGCUUGAAUCCGGGAGAGGUGAGUGGAAUUCCGAGUGUAGAGGUGAAAUUCGUAGAUAUUCGGAAGAACACCCGUGGCGAAGGCGGCCAGCUGGGCCGUCCCUGACGCUGAGGCGCGAAGGCGUGGGGAGCGAACGGG
rnacentral:rRNA from 1 species